rnacentral:rRNA from 1 species
CCAGACUCCUACGGGAGGCAGCAGUGGGGAAUAUUGCACAAUGGGGGGAACCCUGAUGCAGCGACGCCGCGUGAGUGAAGAAGUAUUUCGGUAUGUAAAGCUCUAUCAGCAGGGAAGAAAAUGACGGUACCUGACUAAGAAGCCCCGGCUAACUACGUGCCAGCAGCCGCGGUAAUACGUAGGGGGCAAGCGUUAUCCGGAUUUACUGGGUGUAAAGGGAGCGUAGACGGUUAUGCAAGUCUGAAGUGAAAGCCCAAGGCUCAACCAUGGGACUGCUUUGGAAACUGUAAAACUGGAGUGCAGGAGAGGUAAGCGGAAUUCCUAGUGUAGCGGUGAAAUGCGUAGAUAUCACGCAGAACUCCGAUUGCGAAGGCAGCAUACCGGCGCCCAACUGACGCUGAAGCACGAAAGCGUGGGUAUCGAACAGGAUUAGAUACCCGUGUAAG